UACGUAGGGUGCAAGCGUUGUCCGGAAUUAUUGGGCGUAAAGAGCUCGUAGGCGGUUUGUUGCGUCGGCUGUGAAAUCCCGAGGCUCAACCUCGGGUCUGCAGUCGGUACGAGCAAACUAGAGUGUUGCAGGGGAGACUGGAAUUUCCGGUGGAGCGGUGAAAUGCGUAGAGAUCGGAAAGAACACCAACGGCGAAAGCACUCUGCUGGGCCGACACUGACACUGAGAGACGAAAGCUAGGGGAGCGAAUGGG
rnacentral:rRNA from 1 species